rnacentral:rRNA from 1 species
UACAGAGGGUGCAAGCGUUAAUCGGAAUUACUGGGCGUAAAGCGCGCGUAGGCGGCUUUGUAAGUUAGAGGUGAAAGCCCGGAGCUCAACUCCGGAACUGCCUUUAAGACUGCAUCGCUAGAACGUCGGAGAGGUAAGUGGAAUUCCGAGUGUAGAGGUGAAAUUCGUAGAUAUUCGGAAGAACACCAGUGGCGAAGGCGACUUACUGGACGACUGUUGACGCUGAGGUGCGAAAGCGUGGGGAGCAAACAGG